CAAAGGCUUGGUCCUGACUUUACUAUCAAUUUUAGCUAGACUUACACAUGCAAGUAUCCGCACACCCGUGAGAAUGCCCACAAUUUCCCGCCCCCAGGAAAAAAGGAGCUGGUAUCAGGCACAAUACUUAGCCCACGACACCUUGCUUAGCCACACCCCCAAGGGAACUCAGCAGUGACAAAUAUUAAGCCAUAAGUGAAAACUUGACUUAGUUAAAGCUAAGAGGGCCGGUAAAACUCGUGCCAGCCACCGCGGUUAUACGAGAGACCCAAAUUGAUAGAAAACGGCGUAAAGAGUGGUUAAGAGACCUAAAAACUAAGGCCGAACGCUUCCAAGGCUGUUAUACGCUCCCGAAAGUAAGAAGCACAACUACGAAAGUGGCCUUAUCAGCCUGAACCCACGAAAGCUGGGGUACAAACUGGGAUUAGAUACCCCACUAUGCCCAGCCAUAAACAUUGAUAGCACUACACACCUGCUAUCCGCCCGGGAACUACAAGCACCAGCUUAAAACCCAAAGGACUUGGCGGUGCUUAAAAUCCACCUAGAGGAGCCUGUUCUAGAACCGAUAACCCCCGUUCAACCUCACCCUCCCUUGUUAACCCCGCUUAUAUACCGCCGUCGUCAGCCUACCCCGUGAGGGUUUUAUAGUAAGCUCAAUUGGCAUAGCCCAAAACGUCAGGUCGAGGUGUAGCGUAUGAGAGGGAAAGAAAUGGGCUACAUUCCCUAAAAUAGUGAAUACGAAUUAUGUGCUGAAAUAAACAUCUAAAGGAGGAUUUAGCAGUAAAUAGAAAACAGAGUGUUCUACUGAAAUAGGCCCUAAAGCGCGCACACACCGCCCGUCACUCUCCCCAAGCCUCAAAAACCUAGAUAAAUUAAACAUUAAAACUGCUAAGGGGAGGCAAGUCGUAACAUGGUAAGUGUACCAGAAGGUGCACUUGGUAUAAU
rnacentral:ncRNA from 1 species